rnacentral:lncRNA from 1 species
AAUUUUUGUCACUUCUGGCAGUACUUUUUUUUUUUAAUGAAAAUUUUAUUCCAAAUAUAGCAACAUAAAAAACUUUAUUUAGGGCUUUAUUUAUUUGAUAGAAUGACAUAAAGUUCAUCAUCCAGAGGCUUUUUUAUAUUAAAUGUGGACAUUAAUAUUUUUUCUGGGAUAAGAACAUAAACUAGAGGACCAUUCUGAGCUGUAUGGUUACCUGGACCAGAAAAAUUAGCAGAAAUCUGAAAACAGUUAUGAAAAGUACUCUGAGCUUUGCCAUUUCAAAAAAUAGGAUAAACUUAAACACGUUUAUUAAGAGCAGUGAACUAAGAUAGGACAGAAAAGGAAAUCUGUACUAUAUACUUUUCCAAUUAAAUACAUAGUCAUCUUUGGUGUUAAUGUAUUUAUAAGACUUUAAAAAGAUUUAGCCUAAA